ensembl:snoRNA U3 Small nucleolar RNA U3
AAGACUAUACUUUCAGGGAUCAUUUCUAUAGUUUGUUACUAAGAAGUUCCUCUGACUGUGUAGAGUGCCAGAAGCCACGAGGAAGAAGCGUGGCAGUGUCUCCUGAGCGUGAAGCGGCUCUUGGUGUUGCUUUGCUGCAACUGUCAUUUGCCACUGAUGACCGUUUCUGCUCUCCUUCCAGGGAGCUGAAGGUGGAGGACACAGUCUGAGUGGA